rnacentral:rRNA from 1 species
AUACGUAGGGGGCGAGCGUUGUCCGGAAUGAUUGGGCGUAAAGGGCGCGUAGGCGGCCCGGUAAGUCUGGAGUGAAAGUCCUGUUUUUAAGAUGGGAAUUGCUUUGGAUACUGUCGGGCUUGAGUGCAGGAGAGGUAAGUGGAAUUCCCAGUGUAGCGGUGAAAUGCGUAGAGAUUGGGAGGAACACCAGUGGCGAAGGCGACUUACUGGACUGUAACUGACGCUGAGGCGCGAAGGUGUGGGGAGCAAACAGGAUUAGAUACCCUGGUAGUCUACACUGUAGACGAUGAAUGCUAGGUGUAGGGGGUAUCGACCCCUUCUGUGCCGCAGUCAACACAAUAAGCAUUCCGCCUGGGGAGUACGGCCGCAAGGUUGAAACUCAAAGGAAUUGACGGGG